GAUGGACGCUAGCUACAGGCUUAACACAUGCAAGUCGCGGGGCAGCAUGGGGGUUGCUUGCAAUCCCCGAUGGCGACCGGCGCACGGGUGAGUAACGCGUAUCCAACCUGCCCUUCACCACGGGAUAACCCGGCGAAAGUCGUACUAAUACCGUAUGUUGUCCAUUUACUGCAUCCGAUUUGGACGAAAGGUUUGGCGGUGAAGGAUGGGGAUGCGUCCGAUUUGCUGGAGGGCGGGGUGACGGCCGACCGUGGAGACGAUCGGUAGGGGUUCUGAGAGGAAGGGCCCCGAGACGGGAACUGGGACAAGGUCCAGACACCUACGGGAGGCAGCAGUGAGGAAUAUUGGUGAAUGGGAGUAAGCCUGAACCAGGCAAGUAGCGUGCAGGAUGACGGCGCUAUGGGUUGUAAACUGCUUGUAUGAGGGGAUAAAGUGGUCCACGGGUGGGUGUUUGAAGGUACCGCAUGAAUAAGGACCGGCUAAUUACGUG
rnacentral:rRNA from 1 species